ACGUAGCAGGCUCGCUGGAGGACCUCCCACGCCGGUAACAUACCGGGUGAUGUCUUACCAAGGCGCGAAGAGCUGAGUCGGUGGCAGCUAAUCACAGUGACAGCUCCCGCCGGGGAGGUGAAGUCCGGACUUAGAUUUCGUGCUCGCAGAGCCGGGGUAGCCAGCGCGGAGCGGAAGUCCAGCGGCUCGCGCGACGGUGAAAGUCCUCUGUAGCUAGGCCCACCCAACUCCCAGCUACCAUGACAUGACUUCUGUGUCCAGUUCUGGAGUCUGCUUUGCCCAUGCACAAAGCAGGUCGGUCAGAAGGGCCCAGGAUUUACUGGUCCUGAGGAACAGCUCUUAUCUAGUGACUGGAGUGAACUGGUGGGAAAACAUCCCUUCUGGGGGAUAACUUGAGUCUGGAUUUCAUAUGAAUGGAAUCAUAUACUGUGUGGUCUUUUGUGACUGGCUUCUUUCAUGUGGCAGUGUUUUCAAGGUAACUAUGGAAAAAACAUCCCCCAACAGUGAGCCUAAGCAAGAGUCCAGUUAAACAACUUUCAAGACACACUCAGAAAACAUUGUGAUGCCUUGUGGAAAUUUACCCUGAGAUUAGAAUCUAAAGGUAUGAGAGUAAUCUUGAAGAAGAAAACGUGAUGAACUUCCAUAGUUGGGAAAAUGGGGAACUUUCCGAGAAGUAGAUUAUGCCAUAAAUCACUGAAUGACAUAUGCCUAUGAUGAUUUUAUGAUGAUUUCAUGUAACCAAUCCCCUACAUAUUGCCUGAGGUUUCUGUCAAUAAACAG